UUACUGAAAAAGCAAUAUUGACCGAGCUUGGAUCAGAGUGGUUUUUCGUAAGCAGUAAUGAAUCUAACAAAUAUAAAUUAAAUUCUCCUCUUUAUCCUAGCUUUCCAACUUUCCACCUACAACAGUGACCGCAUACGUCCCCACUAUCAUCUCUUUUUUUAAUUAUUAUUAUUAUGCGUCUCAGUUACAAAUAUAAUAUUGAAAAUGUGUUUACGACAGCCUUUU